rnacentral:rRNA from 1 species
CUGGCUCAGGAUGAACGCUAGCUACAGGCUUAACACAUGCAAGUCGAGGGGCAGCGGAAGUCAGCUGCUGACUUGCCGGCGACCGGCGCACGGGUGAGUAACGCGUAUCCAACCUUCCCCUUAGUAGGGCAUAGCCCGUAGAAAUGCGGAUUAAUACCCUAUGUUGUUCGAUGCGGACAUCUAAGUUGAACCAAAGGUUUACCGCUAAGGGAUGGGGAUGCGUCCGAUUAGGCAGCAGGCGGGGUAACGGCCCACCUGGCCGACGAUCGGUAGGGGUUCUGAGAGGAAGGUCCCCCACAUUGGAACUGAGACACGGUCCAAACUCCUACGGGAGGCAGCAGUGAGGAAUAUUGGUCAAUGGGCGAGAGCCUGAACCAGCCAAGUAGCGUGCCAGGAUGACGGCCCUAUGGGUUGUAAACUGCUUUUAUGCGGGGAUAAAGUGAGGGACGUGUCCCUUAUUGUAGGUACCGCAUGAAUAAGGACCGGCUAAUUCCGUGCCAGCAGCUGC